rnacentral:rRNA from 1 species
AUUGAACGCUGGCGGCAGGCCUAACACAUGCAAGUCGAGCGGAAGAAGGGAGCUUGCUCCUGGAUUCAGCGGCGGACGGGUGAGUAAUGCCUAGGAAUCUGCCUGGUAGUGGGGGAUAACGUCCGGAAACGGGCGCUAAUACCGCAUACGUCCAGAGGGAGAAAGGGGGGGAUCUUCGGACCUCACGCCAUCAGAUGAGCCUAGGUCGGAUUAGCUAGUUGGUGGGGUAAAGGCCUACCAAGGCGACGAUCCGUAACUGGUCUGAGAGGAUGAUCAGUCACACUGGAACUGAGACACGGUCCAGACUCCUACGGGAGGCAGCAGUGGGGAAUAUUGGACAGUGGGCGAAAGCCUGAUCCAGCCAUGCCGCGUGUGUGAAGAAGGUCUUCGGAUUGUAAAGCACUUUUAGUUGGGAGGAAGGGCAGUAAGUUAAUACCUUGCUGUUUUGACGUUACCAACAGAAUAAGCACCGGCUAACUUCGUG